rnacentral:rRNA from 1 species
GUGUCAGCAGCCGCGGUAAUACAGAGGGUGCGAGCGUUGUCCGGAAUCACUGGGCGUAAAGGGCGCGUAGGUGGCGCGACAAGUCCGUGGUGAAAGCUCGAUGCUUAACAUCGAGUCGGCCACGGAUACUGUUGGGCUUGAGCACUGUAGAGGCUAAUGGAAUUCCGGGUGUAGCGGUGGAAUGCGUAGAGAUCCGGAAGAACACCGGUGGCGAAGGCGGUUAGCUGGGCAGUUGCUGACACUGAGGCGCGACAGCGUGGGGAGCAAACAGGAUUAGAUACCCCCGUAGUCC